rnacentral:rRNA from 1 species
UACGGAGGGUGCAAGCGUUGUUCGGAUUUACUGGGCGUAAAGCGCGCGCAGGCGGGUGGACAAGUCGGAAGUGAAAUCCCAGGGCUCAACCCUGGGGCUGCUCCCGAAACUGUUCGCCUAGGGACUGGUAGAGGCUGGUAGAAUUCCCGGUGUAGCGGUGGAAUGCGUAGAGAUCGGGAAGAAUACCUGUGGCGAAGGCGGCCUGCUGGGCAGUUUUGCUGACACUGAGGCGCGACAGCGUGGGGAGCAAACAGG